CUUCAACGACCCCAGGUACAACGGCCGUUCGCGGUCCCGACCCCGACCGUAGGUGGCGAUCAGCGCCUGCGCCUC
rnacentral:antisense_RNA from 1 species